AGUGAACGCUGGCGGUAGGCCUAACACAUGCAAGUCGAACGGCAGCACAGUAAGAGCUUGCUCUUACGGGUGGCGAGUGGCGGACGGGUGAGGAAUACAUCGGAAUCUACUUUUUCGUGGGGGAUAACGUAGGGAAACUUACGCUAAUACCGCAUACGACCUACGGGUGAAAGCAGGGGAUCUUCGGACCUUGCGCGAUUGAAUGAGCCGAUGUCGGAUUAGCUAGUUGGCGGGGUAAAGGCCCACCAAGGCGACGAUCCGUAGCUGGUCUGAGAGGAUGAUAAGCCACACUGGAACUGAGACACGGUCCAGACUCCUACGGGAGGCAGCAGCGGGGAAUAUUGGACAAUGGGCGCAAGCCUGAUCCAGCCAUACCGCGUGGGUGAAGAAGGCCUUCGGGUUGUAAAGCCCUUUUGUUGGGAAAGAAAAGCAGCAGGUUAAUACCCCGCUGUUCUGACGGUACCCAAAGAAUAAGCACCGGCUAACUUCGUG
rnacentral:rRNA from 1 species